GGGCUGUAGCUCAGUUGGUCAGAGCACCUGCUUUGCAAGCAGGGGGUCAGGAGUUCGACUCUCCUCAGCUCC
rnacentral:tRNA from 1 species